rnacentral:rRNA from 1 species
UACAGAGGGGGCAAGCGUUGUUCGGAAUUACUGGGCGUAAAGCGUGCGCAGGCGGCUUUGCAAGACAGAUGUGAAAUCCCCGGGCUUAACCUGGGAACUGCAUUUGUGACUGCAUGGCUGGAGUGCGGCAGAGGGGGAUGGAAUUCCGGCGUGUAGCAGUGAAAUGCGUAGAUAUGCGGAGGAACACCGAUGGCGAAGGCAAUCCCCUGGGCCUGCACUGACGCUCAUGCACGAAAGCGUGGGGAGCAAACAGG